GCGGCUGUAGCUCAGCUGGAUAGAGCAGCGGUUUCCUAAAUCGCAGGUCGGCAGUUCGAAUCUGCCCAGCCGCG
rnacentral:tRNA from 1 species